rnacentral:lncRNA from 10 species
UGUUUCAUUCUCAAAACAACAAAUACAAAAAGAUAACUGUGGUCUUUGUCAAUGUUGUAAGCCUUAAGAGAGUUCACAAACCUCUUGUGGAAGAAGUCACUGAUGACAAAGAAAACUCACUGAAAAAUAAAACAGAAAAGCUGAAAGGAUGGAUUACCAAAAUUUUGUUUCAAAGGAUAGAAAUUCCCCUUGCUGCCAGCACAAUUCCUUGAACUGUUUGGGAAUGAUCAUUGAAAGUAUUUUGCAUGAAAAAAAUGUUCGUUUGUUUGUUUGUUUGUUUUCAGCAAUUGUAGACCCUUUCCACAAAUGAUUUUUAAUUAUAGAAGGAAAAAGAGGUUUAGGGUUAUUUUUAAUAUAAAGAAGAAUAAGAUAAACAGCAGAUUCUAUGGCCUGUUUGGCAUAUCUAGUAUUUGUGCAGGUCAUCUGUAUAGAUCAGUUUCCAAUGACCUUAAGUCCAUCGUACUUUUGCAGUUUGCUAUUUAAUACAAGGAAUGUUCAAAUAAUUUUGCAAAGAAUGGAAGAGUUUAUUUUCUCCAAAGGAUCAGUUCUGCUGGAGAAUGGUGUAUUGAGACUAGAAGACAACCAUGUACUUCAUCAAUACGUAGAAAUCAAGAGUGUUCUUACUGUAC